UGCAGAAGCCUAAAUACUUUGAAGGUACCAGGCUCUGUUUGACCUUGGAAGCUAAACAGAGUCAGUCCUAGUUAGUACUUGAAUGUGAAACUGCAAAUGUAUACAAGGUGCUAUAGCAU
rnacentral:rRNA from 11 species